CACUGACCUGUCCCCUCCAGCGUACAGACGUAUCUCAGAUGUGUCUCCAGAGUACAGAUACAUCUCAGAUGUAUCUCCAGAGUACAAAGUUUUGGUGUCUCUUGCUCUGCAGUCAGCCCAUCACCUGCUCCCGUGACUCCACUGUGCUUUAUUCCCCUGUCGUGGGCUGCGAGCUCGUCCUGACCCCUCAGGCACGCCGGCUGGGGGAAGUCUCUGACUGCGAUCCCGCCUCGAUAACGCCGCGAUUCCGCUCAGGCGGCUUCUGUGCGGGAGUAAAAGCGCCGUGUUCCAGCCGCAGAACUUCUUGCUCCUGAGGAAACACUGUGCCUUUGUGCCAUUGCACAAUCCAAUAAACCUUGCGUUGCUGA